AGAGUUUGAUCCUGGCUCAGAACGAACGCUGGCGGCAGGCUUAACACAUGCAAGUCGAACGCACCUUCGGGGUGAGUGGCAGACGGGUGAGUAACGCGUGGGAACGUGCCCUUCAGUUCGGAAUAACCCAGGGAAACUUGGGCUAAUACCGGAUACGUGCGAGAGCAGAAAGAUUUAUCGCUGAAGGAUCGGCCCGCGUCUGAUUAGCUAGUUGGUGAGGUAAUGGCUCACCAAGGCGACGAUCAGUAGCUGGUCUGAGAGGAUGAUCAGCCACAUUGGGACUGAGACACGGCCCAAACUCCUACGGGAGGCAGCAGUGGGGAAUAUUGGACAAUGGGCGCAAGCCUGAUCCAGCCAUGCCGCGUGAGUGAUGAAGGCCUUAGGGUUGUAAAGCUCUUUCGUCCGGGACGAUAAUGACGGUACCGGAAGAAGAAGCCCCGGCUAACUUCGUGCCAGCAGCCGCGGUAAUACGAAGGGGGCUAGCGUUGUUCGGAAUCACUGGGCGUAAAGGGCGCGUGGGCGGCUUGAUAAGUCGGGGGUGAAAGCCUGUGGCUCAACCACAGAAUUGCCUUCGAUACUGUCUGGCUUGAGACCGGAAGAGGUAAGUGGAACUGCGAGUGUAGAGGUGAAAUUCGUAGAUAUUCGCAAGAACACCAGUGGCGAAGGCGGCUUACUGGUCCGGUUCUGACGCUGAGGCGCGAAAGCGUGGGGAGCAAACAGGAUUAGAUACCCUAGUAGUCC
rnacentral:rRNA from 1 species